UACGUAGGGUGCGAGCGUUGCCCGGAUUUAUUGGGCGUAAAGGGCGCGUAGGCGGCUCGACACGUUCGUUGUGAAAUCGCCCGGCUCAACUGGGCGGGGUCAGCGAAUACGGUCGAGCUUGAGCAAGCUAGGGGGCAAUGGAAUUCCCGGUGUAGUGGUGGAAUGCGUAGAUAUCGGGAGGAACACCAGUGGCGAAGGCGGUUGCCUAGGGCUUUGCUGACGCUGAUGCGCGAAAGCGUGGGGAGCGAGUCCGG
rnacentral:rRNA from 1 species